rnacentral:rRNA from 1 species
UUUAUGGAGAGUUUGAUCCUGGCUCAGGAUGAACGCUGGCGGCGUGCCUAAUACAUGCAAGUCGAGCGAACGGACGAGAAGCUUGCUUCUCUGAUGUUAGCGGCGGACGGGUGAGUAAUACGUGGAUAACCUACCUAUAAGACUGGGAUAACUUCGGGAAACCGGAGCUAAUACCGGAUAAUAUUUUGAACCGCAUGGUUCAAAAGUGAAAGACGGUCUUGC